rnacentral:lncRNA from 1 species
GGGGGCUGAAGAAGGCAAGGACUGGUGCGAGGGGAGUAGCUGAGUAGCUAAGCUCUCGGGCAAAAGAAAGGCACCGUCCUAUCGGCAGAAUGAAGCCACGAAGGGAGAUUAGGGGGUUUAAAUAGCCGACGGAUCCUAGCGCAGUUAUGGCGGCGGGUGUUCCUGGGCCAACUGGUGCGUGCCACGUGUCCCGCAUGUCCCCCUCAUCGCUAUCGAGGGUUGACCGCUCACAAAUUUC